rnacentral:rRNA from 1 species
UACGGAGGGUGCAAGCGUUGUUCGGAUUUAUUGGGCGUAAAGCGCGUGUAGGCGGUUUCUUAAGUCUGAUGUGAAAGCCCUGGGCUCAACCCAGGAAGUGCAUUGGAUACUGGGAGACUUGAAUACGGGAGAGGGUAGUGGAAUUCCUAGUGUAGGAGUGAAAUGCGUAGAUAUUAGGAGGAACACCGGUGGCGAAGGCGGCUACCUGGACCGAUAUUGACGCUGAGACGCGAAAGCGUGGGGAGCAAACAGG